GCAGAGCUUUGAGUCCACCCAGACAGGUGAGCACUUGCAAGUGAACUUGACCUCUGUACUAAGAUCUGGAAGGGCUGUGCCCAGCAAACCUGAAGAGGCAGCACUGCAAAGGAGCCUCUGCUGAGAAGACUGAAGCUUCACGGCCUGGUACUGUGGGGACUGGAUCUUAAAAUAGUCCUUCACUCAAGGUGCACUAGGACUGGAGAGAGAUAGCCCCUAGCCAGGGGUGUCUCGUACUGGAAAAAGUCGUGGCAGGCAUGGCAAGGCAAAAACUGGAUGCGUAGAACACCCUCUCUAUAUAUAUAUUCUUCUCCAGGAGCAGCUGUCAAAACAAUUUAGGGGCAAGAUUGACAGCUCAUUAGAAUCCCCUCAGCCGAGUGGAAUUCAGACUACUUUCCAGCAGACAGAGCGAAAGAGAGGAAGCAGCCGCCCUGGGCCAGGAGGCUCAAGCUUCCAGACGUAGUUAACAUUAACAUAGGCAUGACGAUGGACGGGGUCAGUGUUCACAGUGGGCUUGUCAUCACAAGUCACAGAUC
rnacentral:lncRNA from 1 species